GCAGUCGAGCGCCUCCAAGCUAUGGUGAAGGCGCGGCAUACGGCUCAGUAACACGUGGCCAACCUACCCUUGGGACGGAGACAACCCCGGGAAACUGGGGCUAAUCCCCGAUAGGUAAGGAAUCCUGGAAUGGAUCUUUGCUGAAAGGGCGUCUAGACCAUGCUUCUUGACGUCGCCCAAGGAUGGAGCCGCGACCGAUCAGGUUGUUGGCGAGGUAACGGCUCACCAAACCUUUAACCGGUACGGGCCGUGAGAGCGGGAGCCCGGAGAUGGGCACUGAGACAAGGGCCCAGGCCCUACGGGGCGCAGCAGUUGCGAAAACUCCGCAAUACGCGAAAGUGUGACGGGGCUAUCCCGAGUGCCACCCGCUGAGGGCGGCUUUUCCCCGGUGUAUAAAGCUGGGGGAAUAAGGAGAGGGCAAGCCUGGUGUCAGCCGCCGCGGUAAUACCAGCUCUCCGAGUGGUGGGGAUGUUUAUUGGGCCUAAAGCAUUCGUAGCCUGCUUGGCAAGUCCUCCGUUAAAUCCAACGAUUCAAUCGUUGGGCUGCGGGGGAUACUGUCCGGCUAGGGGGCGGGAGAGGCCGACGGUAUCCCCGGGGUAGGGGUGAAAUCCUAUAAUCCCGGGAGGACCACCAGUGGCGAAGGCUGUCGGCUAGAACGUGCUCGACGGUGAGGGAUGAAAGCUGGGGGAGCGAACCGGAUUAGGUACCCGGGUAGUCCCAGCUGUAAACGAUGCAGGCUAGGUGUU
rnacentral:rRNA from 1 species